CUGUAGUUCAGCUGGUUAGAGCGUCAGAUUGUGGUUCUGAAUGUCGUGGGUUCGAAUCCCAUCAG
rnacentral:tRNA from 2 species